CGUAAUCCGAGGGAGGAGAGAGAAGAAGGGGGAGAAGUAAAGAGGGAAAGUGGCCUUCUGGCAGAGACACAAACCUCCUUAGCAAAGGCUGACAGACUAUGGCUGAUAAUGAGUGGAAUGUCACACUGAGUUGAGGCUUCACAAGAUGAUGAAUGCAAGCCACAGAAUAAAAUAGGAAGGCUCAUGAUGUCCUCAGAACUGAGAUCCACUUGGCAGGAUGCACUCUUGUACACAAACGUCCCUGUCUCUGAUGUCUCCACCAUGACUGACUCAUCUCCAAUCUCCAGUUCGCCAGCCACCAUGAUUUUAUUGCUGUCCAUCACGCUGUCAUCCUCUAGUUCCAGGGACAGGAUUGCCAUGCUUGCAUCUCCCAUUGUGGAUUGGUUGUAAGUUAGUUUGACUGAAGUAAUUACUUGAACCUUAAGGACUGUAAUACUUUUUGUGCAUAAUUCAUUACAUUCCUGAUUUCCUGGGCAUCAAGAAAAUUGCAACAAGAGGCUUGCAUUCAUUGUAGAGGAUCAGUCUGAUUGAAGGACUUUAUCUGUCCUCAUUUCCUUCUGCAAAGGAUAUUCUUAUUCUCUGUUUCUUAAAUUUUCACACAAUUAUAUUCUGGAAAAAAUAAAAAGAAACAUGCUAUGGUACUGCUGACUGGGCAAGCUGACUAGUAAGUGAUGAUGAUGAUAACACCACUAAUAGAUAGAUGAUAAUUAUUGUAAUAUAGUCAACAUAACACCUAAUAAAUUAUGCAAUUAAUGACUGUAUCAGAAAUUAUUAUAAUACUAUAUCCUGUCAUAUGUAGUUCUAUCAAGAGAUAAAACUUUCCUAUUUAA